rnacentral:rRNA from 1 species
AGGAUGUGCAGUUGCACAGACAACCAGGAUGUUGGCUUAGAAGCAGCCACUCAUUCAAAGAGUGCGUAAUAGCUCACUGGUCGAGUGAAUGUGCGCCGAAAAUAUACCGGGGCUAAACGUGAUACCGAAGUCUGGGGAUCAAGAAAUUGAUCGGUAGGGGAGCAACGCAUACGGACAGAAGCAGAAGCGGGAGCGACUGUGGACUGUAUGGGAGAGAGAAUGCCGGCAUGAGUAGCGAGAGCAAAGUGAGAAUCUUUGCCGUCGAAAGCCUAAGGUUUCCUGAGGAAGGCUCGUCCUCUCAGGGUAAGUCGGGACCUAAGCCGAGGACAAGAGUCGUAGGCGAUGGACAACAGGUUGAUAUUCCUGUACCGUACUUAAGCGUUUGACUGAAGCAGUGACACAGAAGGAUAGACAGACCGGGGGAAUGGUAGACUCCGGCCAAGCAGUGAGGCUGACAUGUAGUGAAGUACGCAUGUUAAGGCUGGGCUGUGAUGGGGACUGAAGAUUAGUAAGGAAGCUGUUGAAUUCACACUGGCGAGAAAAGCUGCUAAGGAGCGAGAGUAUGCCCGUACCGCAAACCGACACAGGUAGGCGAGGAGAGAAUCCUAAGACGAGCGGGAGAACCCUUGUUAAGGAACUCGGCAAAAUGACUCCGUAACUUAGGGAGAAGGAGUGCCUCGAGAGAGGCCGCAGAGAAUAGGCCCAAGCGACUGUUUACCAAAAACACAGGUCUGUGCGAAGUAGAGAUACGACGUAUACGGGCUGACGCCUGCCCAGUGCCGGAAGGUUAAGGGGAAGUGUUAGGGCAACCGAAGCACGGAACUUAAGCCCCGGUGAACGGCGGCCGUAACUAUAACGGUCCUAAGGUAGCGAAAUUCCUUGUCGGGUAAGUUCCGACCCGCACGAAUGGCGUAACGACUUGGGCACUGUCUCAACAAGGGACCCGGCGAAAUUGUAGUAUGUGUGAAGAUGCACAUUACCCGCGAUAGGACGGAAAGACCCCGUAGAGCUUUACUGUAGUUUAACAUUGGAUUUUGAUAACACAUGUACAGGAUAGGUGGGAGGCUGAGAAACCGGCACGCCAGUGCCGAUGGAGCCGCUGUUGGGAUACCACUCUUGUGUUAUUGGAGUUCUAACGAAGUGCCGUAAACCGGGCUUCGGACAGUGUUAGAUGGGCAGUUUGACUGGGGCGGUCGCCUCCGAAAGAGUAACGGAGGCGUCCAAAGGUUCCCUCAGAAUGGUUGGAAACCAUUCACAGAGUGCAAAGGCAGAAGGGAGCUUGACUGCGAGACCGACAGGUCGAGCAGGUACGAAAGUAGGGCUUAGUGAUCCGGCGGUAUGAGAGUGGAAUUGCCGUCGCUCAACGGAUAAAAGCUACCUCGGGGAUAACAGGCUGAUCUCCCCCAAGAGUUCACAUCGACGGGGAGGUUUGGCACCUCGAUGUCGGCUCGUCGCAUCCUGGGGCUGGA